rnacentral:rRNA from 1 species
ACUCAAAGGAAUAGACGGGGGCCCGCACAAGCGGUGGAGCAUGUGGAUUAAUACGUCACUAACCGUAGAACCUUACCCAGGCUUGACAUCUGCGGAAGGCGCGUGAAAGCGUGCUGUGCCCCGCAAGGGGAGCCGCAAGACAGGUGUUGCAUGGCUGUCGUCAGCUCGUGUCGUGAGAUGUUGGGUUAAGUCCCGCAACGAGCGCAACCCUCACUCGCUGUUGCCAGCAUUCAGUUGGGCACUCUGCGGGAACUGCCCGGGUAACCGGGAGGAAGGUGGGGACGACGUCAAGUCAGCAUGGCCCUUACGCCUGGGGCUUCACACAUGCUACAAUGGCCGGUACAAAGGGUCCCAAGACCGCGAGGUGGAGGCAAUCCCAAAAAGCCGGUCCCAGUUCGGAUCGCAGGCUGCAACUCGCCUGCGUGAAGGCGGAAUCGCUAGUAACCGCCGGUCAGCUAAACGGCGGUGAAUACGUUCCCGGGCCUUGUACACACCGCCCGU